rfam:Hordeum vulgare subsp. vulgare, WGS project CAJW01000000 data, contig: morex_contig_1607809
CAUGUACUCCCUCUGUCCCGAAUUACUUGUCAUGGAAAUGGAUAAAAAUGGAUGUAUCUAGAACUAAAAUACGUCUAGAUACAUUCAUUUCUGCGACAAGUAAUUUCGGACGAAAGGAGUACUCC